ACAAUUGUAGGGGUAUAGGGUAAAAUUUUCUGGUUUGGACCCUAUUCCACCAAACACCAAAAAUCGGGUCCAACACCAAACACGACCAAAAUCUGCCUCCAUGAAUCCUCUCUCCACGCAUCUUCAUCGCCGUAUCCAUACAAACGAAACAAUACGUGUAACACAUGAACCAAGCUCCGAACAUGGAUUCUCUUCACUCAGUAGCGUGCGACUUCCAGGAAAACAUGGAGCUAUCAACUGCGGCAUGAGGAAUCGUUUCGAUUGCGCACAAACAAACUAAGCAAUCAACGAAGAUGAACGAAAGAAAUGAAUAAUGAAUCUGACCCGAGUUCAAACUCCUCACCAAAUUGAACUCUGAACCAAAACGACCUUCUUUUUGUGCGUGAGAAAGGGGACGAGAUUAAUGAUUGAAAAAAAAGCAAAAAGGCUUACCAAAGCGGAGUUCUUGACACGAUGAUUGCAGGUUUUGAUCCUAUUCCCUUUCUUCUUCGCUCUUUGUGUGCAAUGUAUUUCCUUCUGCUAUGCUCUCUUUCUCCCUCAUGUUCUUCAUUUUCUUCUUCUAUUUAUGCGGUUUUUUUGCUGUAUGUGGAUUUCGUCCUGCUUCCUUGAUUUUUUCUGUUCGUGACUCUGUAAGUUCUUGUUAGAAAUCUGGUAUCGGGUCCGGAGAGUAUGUUUGGAUAAUGUUUGGAAAUUGGAAACGGGGUGUAGAGGGUUGGUUCUGAAGGAUGUUAGAAUGGAUGGUUUUGCUGUCGAUUUUGUUAGCGAUUGAAAGAGUUGCAGGGUGAAGUUCAGAAUGGUUGCCGAAAAGCCCCGGGUUCAUUUCUAUUAGCUGGUUUUUAUGCAGUUUUGGAGAAGUUGUUAAGAGGGUGCAAGGUUGAGGGUUUGUUUCAGUUAACAGUUGAGGGAGAGAAAAUUAUGUUAAAAGGUUUUUUUUGUGGGAAUUGGUAUUGAGAAUUUCUGUUAUGAUAUUGUUGACAGGUUGGAGAAUUCUGUUAUGAGGAGGUUAGGAUUUCAGUCUUUGAUAGCCGAGGGUGAGGAAUCGUGUUGAAGGCGAAUGGAAUGGUUGUUUUGAGAGGUUGGUUUUCGGUUUUGUUCAAUGCUUCAGGGUAUGAGUUAUGAGGGAAUUAUGCAGUUUUAUUUUUUAAAAUUCUUGGAGGGGGGGUUUGUUAUGAAGUGUUGUUCAGUUGGUUGUUAAUUGAUCCAAAGUUAAUUGAGUUGGUUAACAUGACAGUUAGAAAAAACUGGAAAUUUUGUUAUCAGUUAGUGAUGUUAGUUGUGUUGUUGGGUUACUGAACUUCAAAUCAGUUAUGAAUGUCAAGCCAUGAAAUUAGUUAGGUGCAAUGAAUCCACUUAGUUUGAUCGCAUGUUAGUCAUUAAUUUAUUUUAAUUGCUUGAACUCACUGAAAUCCUGUUAAUUUUGAUGCAGCUAGCUGUUAUGAUUUGAAUAUUAGUUAAUAUAGUUAGAUUACUGGAUGUUGUCAUGAUGCUUAAAUGGAUAUGAAAAAUGUUAAACUAACAUGAGCAUGAAUAUGUUUGUGAUGCAUGAAAUUGGUUGGUUAAAGUUGUAUGCUUGAACUCUAUUAAGUAUAUUUGUUGUUAGUUUUAUUGUGAAUUUCCUACUUCUAUGCAUUGCAAUUUGGAUGCUUGACUUGGAUAUCAUGUUAACAUGGUUUGAAUGAGUGGGCUAUUUGCUAUUUGUUGGAAGGUUUGAUGAAUGUUAUGAUGCUUUGCUCAUGCAAUUUGUUUGAAUGAUUAAUGAAAUGUUGAUAUGCAUGAUUGUUAUUAGCUUGAUGUUAUCCUAUGUUAAGUUGAAUUAAGUUGAAUGAAUGUUGAACCAUGGCCAUGCUAUUUCUAUCUUGAGAUGUUUGAUGUUUGUUUAUGGUUGUGACAAUAUUUAUAAUGAUGCAUUGGUUGGAAUGAUUUUGUAGGGUGGAUGCACACAUGAAGAUGGAUUGAAGAGUGGAAUCAGAAGGUGGUUUGGAUUUGCUUUGUCCUGGAGAAAUGUUGAUCAAAUGGAAUGCUAUGGAUUGCUAUAGAAUCAUAGUAGAAAUGGAUUUGUUGUAAUUGAAAUUGUUACAUGGAACUUGGAUUGAAGGUUGUAAUGUUUUGUAGUUUUGGAAUUGAAACAUGUUAAAAUGAAUGAUUGAAUAAAAAUGCUUAGAAAUUGAAUGUGAUUGGAAUUGAGAUUGAAUGUAGAGAAUGAUUUAAUUAGAAUUGAAAUGGUUUAUGUUUAUGUAAAUUGAAAUUGGUUUAUGAAAUGGUUAUGUUUGGAAGUUGAAUUUGAAUUUGUACUAGACUGUGAUUAUAGGUGAUCUGAUGGAAAUUAGAGGUUGAAUGUUUAGAAGUUAACAUGGUUUUGA
rnacentral:lncRNA from 1 species